rnacentral:lncRNA from 1 species
AGAAAAUGUACUUUCUUUAAAAUUGAAUUUGCCGCGCUAUCGCGGUUGAGUAGUAAACUUGGCAACAUGGAUUGAUGAAUAGAGAGGAACAUAUAAAUACGAACAGAGAGAACAGAAAGCACGUGUGUGAUUUUUAGUGCAUUAAUAAAGAUAAGGAGUUGAAUAAAAAAAGAGUAAAUAAAAGUGUAACGGGCGGAAAAUGAACUUUAAUUGUCGUUUCUCUGUUAAAGAGCAACCGAUUGGGUUUUACUUUCCUGAAAAAUCUCAACAAUAUUGGAAUUAAGAUUAUUUGUCUUACAAAACUACAAUUUUGUUCACAAUGGCAAAACUACAAUUUGAAUUCAUGGUGGUAGCUUCACCAAAAUAUGAUAAGACAAAUACAGUUGCCAUAACCUCAAUUACCACAGAGGAUGGAAAGAAGUAUGUACUACCGGAAAAUGUAAGAUAUGCAGAACACCAUAGAUGAAGAUGGAAACCUGCAGUUUGGAGAGCAGUAUCUGAAGGAGGUGGAUGAAAAGAAUAUAAAUCAGGUUUGUAUUGGUACUCUUCAACACUUUUAAGAUUAACUGUAACUGCUGGAUGGUCAGAAUGGAAGAAUAGAUUUUUAAAAAGUUGUGCAAAUGAUGGAUGAAAUAAUGCGACUUACGCUUUAAUAUUUAAGUACAAAGACGGUUCAUUAAUUAAUUACGCCAUCAAGAAGGAAAAACUUUUAGUAGAUUUCAAUUAAGAUAUAGACAUAAAAACACUUAUAGCAUUGAUAGCAUUGAUGUUUAACGAGCUGAGAAAGCAUGAGAACUUAGUAUAUAAGAAAAAUUUUCGAAACAAAGACUAUAAUAGACUUUAACAAAAAAUCUGAAGAAAAAAAACCAUGUAAGAUGUGCGAGAAUUUGGGUAAAGGUGUAGGUUUUCACCCUAGUGAAAAGUGCUAGUUUAAAGCAAAAGAAGAGGAUAAAGAAAAAAAUACUCCAACAAAAAAGCAUCUCUAAUGGCUUAAAUGAAAGACUUAAUGAGACGAUAAUAAAUAAAAUAAGAUGUAUAAUAAACGGAAAGAAAGGAAAAGAAACGUGGACAACUAUCGCAAGAGAAUGUGUAUAUAAAUACAACAAAACAGAACACACAGUUACUGGAUUUUCACCAAAAUAUUUACUAAAUGCCACAAUAAUAACUACGGCACCAGAAGAAUUAAGACAAACGGAAAAAAAGAAUUAUAAUAAAAAACUAUUUGAUAAAAACUGAGUACAAUAUACAUUCAACGUAGAAGACACAGUAUAUAUAGAAAACGGUAACAGAUUUAAUAGGAAAAUAUUAGAUAAAUUAUAUACAUUGGACCACUAAAAAUAAUUGAAAAUAUAUCAGACACAAUCUAUAAAAUAAACACAGGAAAGAAAAAAAAUGAAUCGACUCUGUUUCACAUUACGAAGUUCAUUCCAAUGAGGAAAAUAGAGACAGAAGACAAUGAAUGACUAAAAUAAAAUGUUGAGAAUUUUCAUCGCUUUAGGGGAAGAUGUAAAGAAAAUGAAAAA